CCUACGGGUGGCUGCAGUGAGGAAUAUUGGUCAAUGGGCGGAAGCCUGAACCAGCCAAGUAGCGUGCAGGAUGACGGCCCUACGGGUUGUAAACUGCUUUUAUACGGGAAUAAUGCGCCUUACGUGUAGGGCUUUGCAUGUACCGUAUGAAUAAGGACCGGCUAAGUCCGUGCCAGCAGCCGCGGUAAUACGGAAGGUCCGGGCGUUAUCCGGAUUUAUUGGGUUUAAAGGGAGCGUAGGCCGCAUGUCAAGCUUGCUGGGAAAUGUUCGGGCUCAACCCGGGCCUUGCAGCGCGAACUGGCGUGCUUGAGUCCGCGGAAGGCAGGCGGAAUUCGUGGAGUAGCGGUGAAAUGCUUAGAUAUGACGAAGAACCCCGAUUGCGAAGGCAGCUUGCUGCAGCGGAACUGACGCUGAUGCUCGAAAGCGCGGGUAUCGAACAGGAUUAGAUACCCGGGUAGUC
rnacentral:rRNA from 1 species